CCUACGGGUGGCAGCAGUGGGGAAUAUUGGGCAAUGGAGGAAACUCUGACCCAGCAACGCCGCGUGAAGGAUGAAGGUUUUCGGAUUGUAAACUUCUGUCGCGAGGGAUGAAGAAUGACGGUACCUCGUAAGAAAGCCCCGGCAAACUACGUGCCAGCAGCCGCGGUAAUACGUAGGGGGCGAGCGUUGUCCGGAAUGACUGGGCGUAAAGGGAGUGUAGCCGGGCUGACAAGUCAGAUGUGAAAUCCCGUGGCUCAACCACGGAACUGCAUUUGAAACUGUCGGUCUUGAGUAUCGGAGAGGCAGGCGGAAUUCCUAGUGUAGCGGUGAAAUGCGUAGAUAUUAGGAGGAACACCAGUGGCGAAGGCGGCCUGCUGGACGACAACUGACGGUGAGGCGCGAAAGCGUGGGGAGCAAACAGGAUUAGAUACCCGGGUAGUC
rnacentral:rRNA from 1 species